GACCGCGUAGCUUAGUUGGCAGAGCAUUGGACUAGUAUCCCAAAGGUCGCGGGUUCGAUUCCCACCGUGGCCA
rnacentral:tRNA from 1 species